rnacentral:rRNA from 1 species
GAAUCCCGUCUUUGACACGGACUGCCAGGGCUUUGUGAUGCGCUCUCAAAGAGUCGAGUUGUUUGGGAAUGCAGCUCAAAAUGGGUGGUAAAUUCCAUCUAAAGCUAAAUAUUGGCGAGAGACCGAUAGCGAACAAGUACCGUGAGGGAAAGAUGAAAAGAACUUUGGAAAGAGAGUUAAACAGUACGUGAAAUUGCUGAAAGGGAAACGCUUGAAGUCAGUCGCGUUGGCCGGGGAUCAACCUUGCUUUUGCUGGGCGUACUUUCCGGUCGACGGGUCAGCAUCAAUUUUGACCGUUGGAUAAAGUCUAGAGGAAUGUGGCAUCUUCGGGUGUGUUAUAGCCUCUGGUCGCAUACAACGGUUGGGAUUGAGGAACUCAGCACGCCGCAAGGCCGGGUACUCGUACCACGUUCGUGCUUAGGAUGCUGGCAUAAUGGCUUUAAUCGACCCGUCUUGAAACACGGACCAAGGAGUCUAACAUGCCUGCGAGUGUUUGGGUGGAAAACCCGUGCGCGUAAUGAAAGUGAAAGUUGGGACCUCUGUCGUGGAGGGCACCGACGCCCGGACCAGACCUUCUGUGACGGAUCUGCGGUAGAGCGUGUGUGUUGGGACCCGAAAGAUGGUGAACUAUGCCUGAAUAGGGUGAAGCCAGAGGAAACUCUGGUGGAGGCUCGUAGCGAUUCUGACGUGCAAAUCGAUCGUCAAAUUUGGGUAUAGGGGCGAAAGACUAAUCGAACCAUCUAGUAGCUGGUUCCUGCC